GAUGAACGCUGGCGGCGUGCCUAAUACAUGCAAGUCGAGCGAACAGACGAGGAGCUUGCUCCUCUGACGUUAGCGGCGGACGGGUGAGUAACACGUGGAUAACCUACCUAUAAGACUGGGAUAACUUCGGGAAACCGGAGCUAAUACCGGAUAAUAUAUUGAACCGCAUGGUUCAAUAGUGAAAGACGGUUUUGCUGUCACUUAUAGAUGGAUCCGCGCCGCAUUAGCUAGUUGGUAAGGUAACGGCUUACCAAGGCAACGAUGCGUAGCCGACCUGAGAGGGUGAUCGGCCACACUGGAACUGAGACACGGUCCAGACUCCUACGGGAGGCAGCAGUAGGGAAUCUUCCGCAAUGGGCGAAAGCCUGACGGAGCAACGCCGCGUGACUGAUGAAGGUCUUCGGAUCGUAAAACUCUGUUAUUAGGGAAGAACAAAUGUGUAAGUAACUAUGCACGUCUUGACGGUACCUAAUCAGAAAGCCACGGCUAACUACGUG
rnacentral:rRNA from 1 species